rnacentral:lncRNA from 1 species
CAAUUUCCCUCCUCUCUCUCUUUCGAUAUCUUCCACUCCAUCUCAGUGGCUGACAGAGGACGGGCGAUUGAAUAUUUCAGGUAACUGCACACCACCCAAUUCUUUAUUUACAUCUUCACUCUCAUUAGCGUGAAUGAGUUGCAGUGAUAUUUUUAUGAUUCUCAUUCAUUGCUGUAAUCAGAUCUUGUUAAGACAUUGUUUCUCUUUUCAAUCCAUGUUGUGUUAUGUUUCUUAUUGAAAUUUCUAGUUAUUAAAAAGGGGGAGUUUCUUUUGUAGUGGUGAUUUUUCCUUUCAACAAAGAUUGUUACUGUUUCUUACCUAGAAACUACUGUAUUCAUUCUCGUCCAGUUAGCUUGUUAAUUAGCCUUGACCCUUUUCAAGCUUUUCAUAAUCUGGGAAAGUUUUCUCGAAAGAUAUUAACUGGACUAGCAAAUAUGUAAACCUGUCGAUUCUUUCAUUUUCCUUUAAUUUUUUUUAAUACAUUCAAUUUUCUUCUUCAGUUUGUUUCAUUGCUUAAGGUACUCCAGCUUUUCUUGUUCAAGGAUCUUGUUUGGUUAAUAUGAAAGUUAUGGUUUUACUAGAGGCUAGGACUCUACAAGUUUCUGGAAAUCAAAUAUUUUUAUGUAGCUUAUUGUAGAGAAAGUUAGUCGUGAAGAAUUAACCCAAAUAGCUGCAACCCAACCACUUAAACUAAAAAUAGCUAGCAGAUGUAUAUAUAUAAUUCAUUUAUGAUAUGUGUAUGACCAUGCAUAAUAUGUGGUAUAAUCUAUGUAUAUCGACUAGAAAAGUAAAAAAAAAGUAAAUAAUGAAUGCGUAUACUUUCUUGAAAUACACUAAUUCAAAUGCUUUUACUAGUAAACUAUACAUUCUUGAAAUAAAACGAGGCUACUUUAAAAGAAUGAAGCUCAAAUGCAAUUCAUACUUUCUUGUGGAGAGCUCUUUCAACUUGAGUAUGCUUAAUUAGAAUUUAUUUGUGAUUAGAAUCUGCUUAAUUAGAAUGUAUUUGUAAUUAUAAUGUAUUUGUAUAGAUGGCUUGUGUUAAACGAUCAUAAUACUAAUUAAUAUAUAUUGUGUUAAAUAUCUGGAUUUAUUUUGUGUAGAUGGAGUUUGCACAUCGUAGAUGGAUGUAUAAUCGAACUUAUCCUAAUUGUAAUGGGUUGAGUGAGGAAUUUAUAGAAGGGGUUGCUGAAUUCAUGGCUAAAACAAAAAUACUUCAUGAAUUUCUCAGUGAAUGGGUGAUUAGGUGUCCUUGUAUGAAAUGCAAGUGCGGAAACUUAUUAAAACCAUAUGUUAAAGUUUAUCUUUAUAAAAAAGGGUUUAUGAAAAAUUAUUACGUGUAGACUAUUCAUGGAGAGGAUAUUGCUAGUGUUGGCAACGUUGAUUUUCAAAAUUUAUUUGGUAGUGAGGGUAGUCCAUUAGAAGAGAAUAAUGCUGAAAAUUCUCGAUUCAGUGAAAUGGUUAGGGAUGCUUUUGUGAUGCACCUGGGGGCUCAAUCUGAAGCAAAUGAUGAUGCUAAGCGCUUCUAUGAACAGUUACAAGAAGCAAGCCGUCCAUUGUAUGAAGGCUCAAUGCAUUCUAAGUUGUCUGUCGCAGUUAGAUUAGUGAGUAUUAAAUCAGAUUCAAGUAUUUCUCAAGCGGGCAUGGAUUAUAUCAUUGGCCUUAUGAAUGAACUUAAUCCAAAUAAAAUUGACCUACCCAAAGAUUUCUACACAACAAAGAAAUUGGUUUACAAGUUAGGACUUUCAUCAGAGAGGAUUGAUUUACAAUCCGAAAAGUUUCAUUGAUGUAUACAUGCAACCUUUAAUUGAUGAGUUAAAGUUAUUGUGGCAUGAAGGUGUGGAAACAUAUGAUAUAUCAACUAAACAAAACUUCAGAUUGCGUGCUGCUUUGAUGUGGACUAUAAAUGAUUUUUCUGCUUAUGGAAUAUUGUCUGGAUGGUCGACUGCAGGAAAGUUAGCUUGCCCAACUUGUAUGGAAGACACAAAAGCAUUCACGUGGAAACAUAGAGGAAAGAAUACAUGGUUUGACUGCCACCAUUGAUUUUGCCUAUGGAUCACAAGUUUAGGAGAAAUACUAGUGCAUUUAUGAAGAACCAAACUGAAUUUGAGGAGACACCGUCACCAUUUUCGCCAGAAGAAAUUUGAAACGGAGUUAGGUUUCUACCAAAGGUAGCAGAGUCUCCAAUGUCUAAUAAGAUACCUGGUUAUGGUGUUACGCAUAAUUGGACUAAACAGAGCAUAUUUUGGGAGUUACCUUAUUGGAAGCAUAAUUGUCUUCGGCAUAAUUUGGAUGUCAUGCAUAUCGAGAAAAACUUUUUUGACAACUUGUUUAAUACAAUAAUGGAUGACAAUAACAAGACAAAAGAUAACUUGAAGGCUAGGAUGGACUUAAAGGAAUAUUGUAGGUGAAGUGAGUUGUAUCUGACAUACUUUAACAACAAGAUUAAGAAGCCCAAGGCCAGUUACACAUUCACUUUGGAUGAGAGAAGAGAGACUUGUGAUUGGGUUAACUGUUAUACCCCAUGUUUUCGUACGUGGAAGUACGCCAUACGUAAAUUAAUAUAAGCUUGAAAAUGAGAUGUUACAUUCUGCACCUUCGUACGUUAAGGUUUCGUCGUAAAUUAAUCGACGUAAGUUCGGGAAUGGCAUUAUUUUGAGAUUAUAAGUAUUAUGGUAUUUCAAACAAGUGAUGAGUAAAUUCGUGAAGGUGAGAGGAGAAGCAAGUCAAAGAAAAUACAUUUUUGUCCAUGUUUGACAUGUUGGGAUAAAAUAUGAUCCGAGUUAAAAUACUUGGUAUUUAUGGACUAGUGCCAUACAAGGUACCAUAUGACCAUAAUAGUAAGGUGUAUAAGGUAUGUUAAAAGUGAGUAGUAUUUUAAGUUAGUGGAGAUAAAUCUUAGUUAUGUGGGUAAUUAAUUAAUUAUUGAAUAAUAAAACAUUAUCUAGUUAAUUAAUAAUUAGUGAUGGAUUAAUUAAAGUAUUUGGGUAAAGACUAAGGUCUUUAGAUGAAUUGAAAGUGUAAAAAACGUGGCAGCCCCCUUCUAUUCUAAUUAAUGACUCAUUAGUCAUUUAAGAUAGGUGUCACCUUAAAGAAUUUGGUGGCAAAAUUAUUCCUAAAGUAGGGCCACAUCAUAAGGCAUCUUAAGACUUAAGAAGUCUUUCAUCAAUAACGUUAUUCUUCAAAAAUUCAACUCAAAGACUUCUCUAACCUGGUAACGUGGGGAAGUUCAGCAUUUUCAACUAAUUCAACAUGAUUUCAUGGAAAUUCCACAAGAUUUCAUAGCAUCUUAAGCAACGUGAGAUUUUGCAAUUAUAAGAAAGUACGGUGCAAUCUUUCUCAAGAAUAUCAUAAGGAUUUUUCCUAUUCCGAUCUUGCUGUGACGUGUUUUGUCGCAAUUAACGUGUGUUAGAGGGGUUGUCAAGAGAAUAGACCCAGGUAUGUUAAGGCUAUCCCUUCUUUCUUUUGGCAUGACCUAUACAUCACAAACGAAGCGAGUAGAUGCACAACUUCCAUAAAUGACUCUAUUCAUAGAAAUACUAGAGAUGCUUAUAUUCUUGAUUCCCCGCGUGUCAUAUUAUUUUAUCAUUUGUUCAUGGGUCUCUAAAAUACCAAUGUUGGUAAAUUUUAUUUCAUGAUAUUAAUCAGAGGCAUAAUGGUCUUAUGACGUACCGAGAGAUUUUAUUAACGUAUUUCAUAUGCAUUUCAUGCAUUUAUACAUGCUCAUUGACCCAUGACCAGAUGGCGUUAUAUACGCGUAUAUAUAUGUAUAUAUAUAUAUAUAUAUAUAUAUAUNNNNNNNNNNNNNNNNNNNNNNNNNCAUGUCGAGUCUUUUACUCCAUGUUUCUCUCAUGUCUAUUAUUUACUGAUUUUCAUCCCUUACAUACUCGGUACAUUAUUUGUACUGACAUCCCUUUUGCCUGGGGAAGCUGUGUUUGAUGCCCGCAGAUCCCGAUAGACAGGUCGAGAGCCCUCCAAGUAGGCUAUCAGCUCAGCGGAAGAUGUUGGUGCGCUCCAUUUUGCUUCAGAGUUACGUGUUUGGUUAGUAUGAUUUAGACGUAUAUUGUUUGGUAUGGCAGGACUCUGUCCCGACCUUUAUGAAAAAUAUGUAUCCUUAGAGGCUUAUAGACAGAUGUCAUGUACGUAAAAGAUUGUAUGUCCUUGUCGGCCUAUGUUCA